UACGUAGGGCGCAAGCGUUGUCCGGAAUUAUUGGGCGUAAAGAGCUCGUAGGCGGCUUGUCACGUCGGGUGUGAAAGCCCGGGGCUUAACCCCGGGUCUGCAUUCGAUACGGGCUAGCUAGAGUGUGGUAGGGGAGACUGGAAUUCCUGGUGUAGCGGUGAAAUGCGCAGAUAUCAGGAGGAACACCGGUGGCGAAGGCGGGUCUCUGGGCCGUUCCUGACGCUGAGACGCGAAAGCUAGGGGAGCGAACAGG
rnacentral:rRNA from 1 species